UGUAUGUCUGUCCAUCUGUCUGUGACUGUGUGGGCAUGUGUGUUUUCCUAUUGAUCUGUACCUGCUAGGUACUGAGACGUACAUGAAGAAGCUGACCUGGCCGGGCAUGGCUGAGUUCAACAAAGCUGUCAACAAGCCCAUUCUGAUCGAGGCUGAGGUUGGUCUCUUCCAUCAGCAAUAUGAACAUUUCAACUUCUUUGCCGUUCUCAAGGCUGGACACAUGGUGCCUGCUGAUCAAGGUGAAUUUGCACGGACUAUGCUGACAAUGGUUCUUGGCAUGUGUAAUUCGUCAAAGUAACCAUCAAGCACACUCGGUAUCUCAUUCAUUUCCGAUUGAAAUUUCUGAUUGAAAUUCAUGUACUAAACUACUGAAUCUCUCCUGCAAGAAUUCUCUUAGUAGAGUGCUCCCAAUUCUCUUCUUUUGGACAUUGCGAAUUGCUGCAGUCUUUUUGCAAUGGUGUGAUCUCUCCUCCUCUUGCCCCUUCCCGCUUUCUCUCUCUUCUUUCCAUCGAUCCAUCAGUUUCUUUUAGGCCUUUUCAACUACUGAAAGUGUUGUCACCACUUUCUCUUGAUGUAAUCAUUUUAUGUUCUGCUGUGAUUUGUGUUCGUUUGUGCAUGUGUCAAGGAGGUCCUCCUAGGGUGCAGAAUUGUGUGUGCGUGGGGGGGGGGGGGGGGAGCAUUUUUUUAGUACUGUCAUAUGUACUGACUGUGUCAACUUACAACCCAUUGUCCGCCUUUGACUUUUUACAUGCUGUUGCCACAUGUCCCAACUGUUCAUUUUGGCUUGAUUGCUCACGUCUGUACAUAACGUUGCACACAUG